CUCUAGUGCGGUGGGGGAGCCCAGCCUCGGACGGAUGUGGUUCCUAUUCCGUGGUACCUUGUAGACAGUGUGUAUAAACACACUCACAUACGAAAUGUAAGCACAUCUCUACCAAGGUCAGAGACCUGGGUACUGGAGCGAAAUGGAACUCACUCCGCUAUUCAAACUGGUCAACUACCUAAUGAGAAAUGAAGAGAUGUUCACUAAGCUUGCGGACGCUGUAUUAGACCCUAUGAAUCUGCCCAGCGAUGGCAAGAAGCUUGUGAAGCCAGGAUCUGCGUGUCUGAAACACCCUGAGACUUUGGUCAAUAGAUUGUACUGCUGUCUGUCCGAUUCCGUUGCGUGGAACAUCGUGAUCGGUAUACUCGAAAAGCACGAUCCGGAUUUCAAAGUGACCCAUCUCGAAGAGCACGGCCUGGAGGAGCUUGUGAACCAUGAUAAGUACUGGAAUCACAAGAUAGAAACGUACUUAGAUAACACACUGGGGAACCUAACUCCAGCCGAGAUGAAACGAGUUAAACUGUUGCUCUCGUUGAAUAUCGUGAAAGGUUGCAGUCAUAUUCCCAUUGGACUGAUUGAGAACCUAAACGCUCGUGAUCUAUCCCGUGAGAUUCUCUCCCGUUACUUAAAUCGCGCAGUGUUUGUGAUGAGUCUGAUCUUCACGCAAAUCAAGCGAAUGGACCUUGCGGCGACAGUGACUUCAGUGACAGGAAGAUGUGGUAAACCUAAAGCGGUUCCGGGUCUCUACCGAGCACAGAGAACAGGGUGCACAGGGAACAUGGAACUCACUCAGAGAUUCAAAAUGGUCAACUACCUAAUGAGAAACAAUGAGAUGUUCGUUAAGCUGGUGUCCGCUAUCCAGGACCCUAGGAAUCUGCCACUAGAUGGCCGAGUGAUAGAGACAAUUACCCGGAUGCUUAAGAAGCGAGGAUCGGACACGUGUCUGGAACACCCUGAGACUUUGAUCGGUGAAAUGUGCCGCUAUCUGUCCGAGGAUCUCACGUGGACUAUCUUGAUGGGUAUACUCGAAAAGCACCAGUUCAAAGUGGCAGAUCUCGAAGCUCACGGUCUCAAUGAGCUUGCGAGUCGUGAUAUGCGCUGGAAUCACCAGAUGACACCAGCCUUUGACCAGACAAUGUGGAACCUGAGUAGAGCUGAGUUGAGACGUGUGAAACUGUUGCUGUCAUGGGAGAUUGUGAAGGGUUAUGGUUAUAUUCCCUACGGACAGAUUGAGGAGGUAAACGCAUGGGACCUAUCCCAUAACAUUGUGUCUAAGUACCUUCAUCACACAGUGUUUGUUAUGAGUCUGAUCUUCACUCAAAUCGAAAGAAUGGACCUUGUGGAGGAACUGAUUUCGUUGACAUUAAGAGUUGGUAACCCUACAGCGGUUCUGGGUGUCUACUGAUCCGUGACAGCGAAGGGCAAUGGCAUUGAGCUGCAUUUGCUUUUACUGUAAUUAUAAUAUAUGUGAACCGUGUGUGAUCUGAACAAUAAAAAAAACGGAUGAAAUCCCUGUGUACUAACAGUGUGGCGAGUGUUCAUUCUCAUAGUGGAUGUAAAGAGGAAAGAGAGUCAGUCUCUGUGAUACAAAAAAAUAUUCUUUCUCUAGGACAUGGUUUCUAGUUACAAGUAGACUAGACAUUCAGUACAUUUCACGAACAGAGCAGACUCUAAACUCUUAACAAUGGUGCACUAUAGUAAUUAUUGGUGGAUUACCAACGAUAAUGAUUGGUUCACGGUCACCUUGAUAGCGGUUCCAGUGAUGGCUGUUUUUGGGUUGGGCCUGAUCACCCACAGGAUUUAUAGCACACGGUCACGGUCCCCUAUAUACAAACCAUGCUCACGUGUCUAUUCACCUCCGUACGAGACUGUGUACGCUCCCACAACUUGUGCCUUGGACGAAACGUAUCACGUGAACGACCAUUUCAUCCAGGCUACAGACUCCUCGGUGAUCGGCGGUGUGGACACGGAACCCAUCAGUUCGGUGGACAGACGUUGUGAGCCCCUCCUGUAAUCCAGAACCUGGAAAGGUUUGUUCGCUCAAACACCAGAGAAGCGGGCGCGAGCUUCAUCAUUGCACUUCCUGUGUAUGGCCAAUAAAGAAAACUAUGAGUCACGUAAACCUGUGUGGAUGUUUAUUAGCAAAUUAAUUCAUACCAUUAUCAGAGGCAGUCUGGUGUAGCCUCUCAUUAUUACACUUAGCACAUAGAUGUAGUACAAGCUGGAAAUAACUGCGAGACCGGCAAAUAUUAUAAUCAGUGCCAUGCCCCAUACGAACAGCCCAUCAUCAGCGAUUUGUGUGAUCGACUCCCAGGUUGUGGUGGUAUUAGGC
ensembl:lncRNA